rnacentral:rRNA from 1 species
CUACGGGACGCUGCAGUGAGGAAUUUUGCGCAAUGGGCGAAAGCCUGACGCAGCAACGCCGCGUGAGUGAUGAAGGCCUUCGGGUCGUAAAGCUCUGUCAAGUGGGAAGAACCUAUGUAAUGUUAAUAUCAUUAUAUACUGACGGUACCACUGAAGGAAGCACCGGCUAACUCCGUGCCAGCAGCCGCGGUAAUACGGGGGGUGCAAGCGUUAUUCGGAAUCAUUGGGCGUAAGGGGCACGUAGGCGGCCUGGUAAGUCAGAUGUGAAAGCCCGGGGCUUAACCCCGGAAGUGCAUUUGAUACUGUCAGGCUUGAGUAUGGGAGAGGGAAGUGGAAUUCCUGGUGUAGAGGUGAAAUUCGUAGAUAUCAGGAGGAACACCGGUGGCGAAGGCGACUUCCUGGACCAAUACUGACGCUGAGGUGCGAAGGCGUGGGUAGCAAACAGGAUUAGAUACCCCAGUAGUC